UACAGAGACCUCAAGCGUUAUCCGGAAUCAUUGGGCGUAAAGCGUACCGAUCGGUGGUUUAGAAAGUCAGAAGUGAAAUCUCUCAGCUUAACUGGGAGACUGUCUUUUGAAACUUCUAAGCUUGAGGGACAAAGAGGAAGCCGGAACGAACGGUGUAGUAGUGAAAUGCGUUGAUAUCGUUCGGAACACCAAUAGCGAAGGCAGGCUUCUGGGUGUCACCUGACACUGCUAGGACGAAAGCGUGGGGAGCGAAUGGG
rnacentral:rRNA from 1 species